AGCCUAAACCUUUAAAAACAAAGGCAUGGUUAAAACCCAGUCGAGGAUAAAGAACCUAUCAUGUAGGAUUUAUCUUGACUGGUCGUAUCUGGAAACGGAUAUGGAGGACUUCGGUUCUC
rnacentral:sRNA from 12 species